GACGAACGCUGGCGGCGUGCUUAACACAUGCAAGUCGUACGGUAAGGCCCUUUCGGGGGUACACGAGUGGCGAACGGGUGCGUAACACGUGAGUAACCUGCCCACAACUUUUGGAUAACGCUAGGAAACUGGUGCUAAUUCUGGAUAUGUGCUCCUGCUGCUUGGUGGGGGUUGGAAAGCUCCGGCGGUUGUGGAUGGACUCGCGGCCUAUCAGCUUGUUGGUGGGGUAGUGGCCUACCAAGGCGGCGACGGGUAGCAGGCCUGAGAGGGUGACCGGACACAUUGGGACUGAGAGACGGCCCAGAGUCCGAAGGGAGGCAGAGGUGGGGAAUAUUGCACAAUGGGCGAAAGCCUGAUGCAGCAAGGCCGCGUGCGGGAUGACGGCCUUCGGGGUGUAAGCCGCUUUCAGCAGGGACGAAGCGUUUUGUGAAGGUACCUGAAGAAGAAGCACCGGCUAAAUACGUG
rnacentral:rRNA from 1 species